UACGGGGGGGGCAAGCGUUGUUCGGAAUUACUGGGCGUAAAGCGCGUGUAGGCUGCUCGGAAAGUCGGAUGUGAAAGCCCUGGGCUCAACCUAGGAAGUGCAUUCGAAACUUCCGAGCUGGAGUGCUGGAGAGGAAGGCGGAAUUCUCGGUGUAGAGGUGAAAUUCGUAGAUAUCGAGAGGAACACCGGUGGCGAAGGCGGCCUUCUGGACAGUCACUGACGCUGAGACGCGAAAGCGUGGGGAGCAAACAGG
rnacentral:rRNA from 1 species